AUUGAACGCUGGCGGCAGGCCUAACACAUGUAAGUCGAACGAGUGGCGGACGGGUGAGUAAUGUCUGGGAAACUGCCCGAUGGAGGGGGAUAACUACUGGAAACGGUAGCUAAUACCGCAUACCAUCGGAUGUGCCCAGAUGGGGUUGGCUAGUAGGUGGGGUCACGGCUCACCUAGGCGACGAUCCCUAGAUGGUCUGAGAGGAUGACCAGCCACACUGGAGCGGAGACACGGUCCAGACUCCUACGGGAGGCAGCAGUGGGGAAUAUUGUGCAAUGGGCGAAAGCCUGAUGCAGCCAUGCCGCGUGUAUGAAGAAGGCCUUCGGGUUGUAAAGUACUUUCAGCGGGGAGGCGUUACUCGCAGAAGAAGCACCGGCUAACUCCGUGCCAGCCGCCGCGGUAAUUC
rnacentral:rRNA from 1 species